GCUCUACAAAUCACCACCAGCACGCGGCAGAUUGUCUUAUGUAACUCUUAAUGAAAGAUUAUGAAAGAUAAUGUAAACUCUGUAACACAUAUCAAUGCAGAUGAAUUGCAUUGCUUUUUAGAAUGCACAUCAGAAAUAAAUAUUAGAAAACAGCAUCUGCAAAGUAAAAUUUAUACUGUUAAUGUAUAAGACUAAAUGUUUUAAAAUUUCAAGGAAUUGUAUUUAUGAGUAAUGUGAAAACACUGAAAAAACUUUGUACAUGUAUUUUUAUUACCAAAAUAUAUGACUCAGUCUGCCCUCCUUGAAAUAUUUACCUGUCUGUCAGCCAUAUAUGUAAAUAUGUAUAUAGUUAUCUAAAUAUGUAUACCCGCCACUAUAAUUCUAUAUCCUUUUUGUAUUAUAACACGUUUUUCUCUUACGUUUUUUGGUCACAUUGUACAAUAUGCUCUAAACCUCAUAUAAUACCAUCUUUAGUAUGAUAUAAGUGAAUAGAUUAAACUUUCUUCCAAAUACGCAACGCUAUUCUGCUGCUGAUGUGCUAUAAUAGCCUGUUUUCAUUAUUUGUGCUCAACAUAUGUCGAAAAAGAAAUCCGCAUUUGUGUCAAUUAACGUUUAAAAUUGUUAUUUUUUAAAAAGUGGGUUGUGACUAAUCGCGCGUACACUUGUUAAUUGUGACAAAACUGCUUUAAUUGUACAGAUAUUUUUCCACCUUUUAUUAUACUUUAUAUUUUUAUCAAGAUUUGAUUGUUUUGUUUAUGAGUUACAGUACACUGAGUUGAAAUAAGUAAUAAAUUCAUUAAUUAAAAUUAUCAACAUU
rnacentral:sRNA from 1 species